GGGGCUGUAGCUCAGUCGGGAGAGCGGCGGCUUUGCAAGCCGUAGGUCGUCGGUUCGAGCCCGAUCAGCUCCACCA
rnacentral:tRNA from 1 species